GCGCGCUUAGCUCAGUUGGUAGAGCAACUGACUUUUAAUCAGUAGGUCACAGGUUCGAUCCCUGUAGCGCGUACCA
rnacentral:tRNA from 1 species